UGAAGGCACAGAGCUUAGCUAAUUGGCGAGCAUUGUUCCUAUCAAUAUAUUGUUCACAGUGGCUAAGUUCAGUGCCCGAA
rfam:Lepisosteus oculatus linkage group LG19, whole genome shotgun sequence.